CCUACGGGUGGCAGCAGUGAGGAAUCUUGGACAAUGGACGGAAGUCUGAACCAGCCAUGCCGCGUGCAGGAAGACGGCUCUAUGAGUUGUAAACUGCUGUUGUACAAGGGUAAACCUGAAUACGUGUAUUCAGCUGAAAGUACUGUACGAAUAAGGAUCGGCUAACUGCGUGCCAGCAGCCGCGGUAAUACGGAGGAUCCAAGCGUUAGCCGGAUUUAUUGGGUGUAAAGUGUGCGUAGGCGGUGUGAUAAGUUAGAGGUGAAAUGUCCGAGCUUAACUCGGGAACUGCAUAUAAUACUGAUGGACUAGAGAAUAGGAGCGGUAGGCGGAAUGUAUGGUGUAGCAGUGAAAUGCGUAGAGAUCGUACAGAACACUGAUUGCGAAGGCAGCUUCCCGAACUAUAACUGACGUUGAGGCACGAAGGCGUGGGGAGCAAACAGGAUUAGAUACCCCUGUAGUC
rnacentral:rRNA from 1 species